rnacentral:piRNA from 1 species
UUGGAGCUAGAAUAUCAUGUCCAUGUCUGC